rnacentral:rRNA from 1 species
UACGUAGGUGGCGAGCGUUAUCCGGAUUUAUUGGGUUUAAAGGGUGCGUAGGCGGCUUUAUAAGUCUUUGGUUAAAGGUAGCAGCUUAACUGUUUUACAUGCCAAGGAUACUGUAGAGCUUGAGUUAUUUGGAGGUAGCUAGAAUUUCCGGUGUAGCGGUGAAAUGCUUAGAUACCGGAAGGAAUACCGAUUGCGAAGGCAGGUUACUACAAAUACACUGACGCUGAUGCACGAAAGCGUGGGGAUCAAACAGG